UUUUUUCAGUCGAGGAGAGGGCGCCCACGGACCCCUACACCUGGAAACUACCUGGGCUUGAAGAAUCCUCGAGACAGUUACCGCUAUGGCGGAAGAUAUCGUGGAGGCUAUGGUCGCGAUGAUUUUGGCGGUGGCUACCGUAGAUCUCCAAGGCGCUCACCCUAUCGUGGCGGCCGUGACUAUUCCCCUCCGCCUCGCAGAUCACCCUACAGUAGCAGGUCACGAAGGGAAAGGUCAAGAUCUUUACCGUAUUCUCCAUACAGAAGUCCGGAUAGAGGCUACGUCCGUCGGACAAAUGGCUACGCCAGGUAAACGUUGUCUAUUUGGUCUUUUGAAUCAGGACAUCGAGACAUGAGUUAGUUUCUAACUGUAAGAACUGAUGUUUGACUCUAUGCUGAUUUCUACUGCAUGUGUUAAACUGCUUAGUGCUGGACCUAGUUUUGUAGCUUUUAUUUGGUGUGUAAUGCUUGAAAACAUAGGAUCCUCUCGUUUUAUUUAAGAGAAUGAGAGGAGCUGGUUCUGUUGCAUCUUAUUUCAUUUUUUUUCUGCUUGUGGCACUUUGGGGUUAUUUGCCCUAUUUGUAUUUGGAAUGAAAGCAUGUUCUUCUUAUUGUGAUUUA